GGCAUCGUCAGGAAUGUCAGCAGGAACUUCCUUCAGACCUGACGGUGAAAUUCACAAGAGAGACAACAGAUGCAGUCAUGAUGACCUGCUGAGCUCUUCAAUCGUGAUGCAACCGAACAGAGGAAAAGCACACUGACGUGACCUGAAGGCACGUAGGAACACACGUGUUUCCCCAUGUCUGCAGCGUUGGACAUUUUCCUGCAGUCUUUUCCCCUCACAGCUGUCAUUCAUUAUUGAUUGGUGGACCCAGGACCAGGUAUUUCUGGAUCCUCAUUGGCUACCUGCAGGCCCAGCUUGCAACACCUCCCGAGGGUUCAUUGACCUCCACUCCCUCGGUCUCUGUGAAACAACAACAACGUCGACUUGAAAGAAUCUGAAUAAAGUCAGCUGUGGUGACUAAUCUACGUGGAUAAACACCCACCUGCAUUCUGAGGUAAUGCUUUGCACAGCUUGUCCUGGCUUCGUGAAAGUCUGCACAUUCAGCACUUGCUGCUGCUCUUUCCAUACU